UACGUAGGGGGCAAGCGUUGUCCGGAUUUAUUGGGCGUAAAGAGCGUGUAGGCGGCCAAGCAGGUCCGCUGUGAAAACUCGAGGCUCAACCUCGAGAGGUCGGUGGAAACCGUUUGGCUAGAGUCCGGAAGAGGAGAGUGGAAUUCCCGGUGUAGCGGUGAAAUGCGCAGAUAUCAGGAGGAACACCGGUGGCGAAGGCGGGUCUCUGGGCAACAACUGACGCUGAGGAGCGAAAGCGUGGGGAGCGAACAGG
rnacentral:rRNA from 1 species